GGGGACGUACUGGUUUCGACAGGUGUGUGGAACGAAGAGUAGCAUGCCGUGGUGGUGAUCCACGUUAAAAGUACCCGUUAAAAAGAAACGCUAAAACAAACACAAACAAUUUCGCACUGGCUGCAUAGUUCAGCCCCGCGUGUCGGCCUGAGUUCGUCUGCAGGCACAGGAUCCGGCAUCAUUUAUGCAGAAAAACUAAUGCGUGACAUCCCGGCAGCGCAUUAGUAUCUACGGGAUGGUCCGCUGUGAGUCCGCCGUGUGACGCUCAGCGGGCGAGAACCAAAUACCCGGCUAAGCAUGAGAGAAGCUCUUCCGGAAAUGCUCUUGGACGUGGGUUCGAUUCCCACCGUCUCCACCA
rnacentral:tmRNA from 1 species